rnacentral:tRNA from 1 species
GUUAACGUGGCAGAGACAGGUAAUUGCAAAAGCUCUAAAAUCUUUUCAACGAAGGUUCAACCCCUUCCGUUAACU